rnacentral:RNase_P_RNA from 1 species
GCGGAGGGCUGGAUGGCCGCGGGGAAACCCGAGGAAAGUCCGGACUCCCGUUGGCAAGGGUGCCGGGUAACCCCCGGCGGGGGCAACCCCAGGGAAAGCGCCACAGAGAAGAGACUGCCCCGCCGUUUGAGAAGGUUCGCCUUCGGCUUGGCAGGGCGAUGGUGAAACGGUGGGGUAAGAGCCCACCGCGGACUUGGCGACAAGGACGGCACGGCAAGCCCCACCCGGAGCAAUGCCAAAUAGGGGCCUCGCGCGGGGGCCGGUCCCGCAAGGGAUACCGCCCGCAGGGACGCCAACGCCCGAGAGGCCCGGGUUGGCAGCUUGACCGCCGUGGCGACACGGUUGGCAGAGGAAUGGUCAUCCAGCCCCGGGUCACGGCCCGGGGUGGACAGAAUCCGGCUUACAGGCUCUCCGCGCAA